GGAAGAACCAGGCCUGCUGGUUCCUCCCUAGGGGUUGAGGGAGGAUGAUGAGCCUCGGACCACCCGGAGAAAAACCACACUGAGUCAGGAGUCUUUUCAAUGCAGGAGCUCACUUUAUUGUUACAGAGGUGUCCUCUAUGGUGAUUCCUGAUUAAAGCUACUUAUAGAGAAGAAGAUAAAGCUACUUACAGAGAAGAUGUCAGAGAAGAGGAGGAGAGUUGUGAUCCAUUGAUAAGUGUAAGAAGGUAAUUGACUUCACACCACGAGACUGGCCACCUCUUCCAUCUGUGCCAGGGCCCAGGAGAACCUGCAGUGGAAAAAGCACCAUGAGCACUGCUCUUAUUGCUAACCUGGCAAUCAGCUCCAGGGUGAUGGUGGCAGACACAGUUGAUCAAGCACAACCUAUCAAAGCAGAAAUCCAGAGGCUACAAAGAACUCAUCACUAAAUCCGACUACCAACAGGCAUGCUAGGGAUCAUUUCAGAAGAGGGAGGUGGAUAGAUUGUAAGAGCUACAGAGUAGGUGGGAAUACCUUGAAGCAUGGUCCCCUCACUAUCAUGACCCCACAGUCAAUCCCAUAAAUGGCACAGAGGAGGGCCUCAGGGAAACGGGAACAGGGGAGAGGGAAUAA